rnacentral:rRNA from 1 species
UACGUAGGGGGCGAGCGUUGUCCGGAAUUACUGGGCGUAAAGAGCUCGUAGGUGGUUUGUCGCGUUGUUCGUGAAAACUCACAGCUUAACUGUGGGCGUGCGGGCGAUACGGGCAGACUGGAGUACUGCAGGGGAGACUGGAAUUCCUGGUGUAGCGGUGGAAUGCGCAGAUAUCAGGAGGAACACCGGUGGUGAAGGCGGGUCUCUGGGCAAUUCCUGACGCUGAGGCGCGAAAGCGUGGGGAGCAAACGGG